GACGUAGGGCGCGAGCGUUGUCCGGAUUUAUUGGGCGUAAAGAGCUCGUAGGCGGCUUGUCGCGUCGACUGUGAAAUCCCGCGGCUCAACUGCGGGUCUGCAGUCGAUACGGGCAGGCUAGAGUUCGGUAGGGGAGACUGGAAUUCCUGGUGUAGCGGUGAAAUGCGCAGAUAUCAGGAGGAACACCGGUGGCGAAGGCGGGUCUCUGGGUAGUAACUGACGCUGAGGAACGAAAGCGUGGGUAGCGAACAGG
rnacentral:rRNA from 1 species